GGGAAAGAUUUAUUGCUAAAGGAUGGGGCUUUAUUGUAUCAGCUAGUUGGUGAGGUAAUGGCUCACCAAGGCUAUGACGCAUACCUGGUCUGAGAGGAUGAUCAGGCACACUGGAACUGAGACACGGUCCAGACUCCUACGGGAGGCAGCAGUGGGGAAUAUUGCACAAUGGAGGAAACUCUGAUGCAGCAACGCCGCGUGGAGGAUGACGCAUUUCGGUGUGUAAACUCCUUUUAUAAGGGAAGAUAAUGACGGUACCUUAUGAAUAAGCACCGGCUAACUCCGUGCCAGCAGCCGCGGUAAUACGGAGGGUGCAAGCGUUACUCGGAAUCACUGGGCGUAAAGGAUGCGUAGGCUGGAAAUCAAGUCGAGAGUGAAAUCCAACGGCUCAACCGUUGAACUGCUCUCGAAACUGAUUACCUAGAAUAUGGGAGAGGUAGAUGGAAUUGGUGGUGUAGGGGUAAAAUCCGUAGAUAUCACCAGGAAUACCGAUUGCGAAGGCGAUCUAC
rnacentral:rRNA from 1 species